CGAUUAGAGUUUGAUCCUGGCUCAGAUUGAACGCUGGCGGCAUGCUUUACACAUGCAAGUCGAACGGUAACAGGUCUUCGGAUGCUGACGAGUGGCGAACGGGUGAGUAAUACAUCGGAACGUGCCUGGUAGUGGGGGAUAACUACUCGAAAGAGUAGCUAAUACCGCAUGAGAUCUACGGAUGAAAGCAGGGGACCUUCGGGCCUUGUGCUACCAGAGCGGCUGAUGGCAGAUUAGGUAGUUGGUGGGGUAAAGGCUUACCAAGCCUGCGAUCUGUAGCUGGUCUGAGAGGACGACCAGCCACACUGGGACUGAGACACGGCCCAGACUCCUACGGGAGGCAGCAGUGGGGAAUUUUGGACAAUGGGCGAAAGCCUGAUCCAGCAAUGCCGCGUGCAGGAUGAAGGCCCUCGGGUUGUAAACUGCUUUUGUACGGAACGAAAAGCCUGGGGCCAAUACCCCCGGGUCAUGACGGUACCGUAAGAAUAAGCACCGGCUAACUACGUGCCAGCAGCGCGGUAAUACGUAGGGUGCAAGCGUAAUCGGAAUACUGGGCGUAAAGCGUGCGCAGCGGUUUGUAAGACAGUGGUGAAAUCCCGGGCUCAACCUGGGAACUGCCAUGUGGACUGCAGGCUAAGUGCGGCAAA
rnacentral:rRNA from 1 species